rnacentral:tRNA from 1 species
GCCCGAGUGAUGGAACGGCAGACAUGAUGGAUUCAAAAUCCAUUGCCCUUUUGGGCGUGUGGGUUCGACUCCCACCUCGGGCA